UACGGAGGAUCCAAGCGUUAUCCGGAAUAACUGGGCGUAAAGAGUUGCGUAGGCGGCAGGUAAAGCGGAGUGUGAAAUCGUGUGGCUCAACCAUACGGCUAUGCUCUGAACUCACCAGCUAGAGAGUGAGAGAGGUUACUGGAAUUCCUAGUGUAGGAGUGAAAUCCGUAGAUAUUAGGAGGAACACCGAUGGCGUAGGCAGGUAACUGGCUCAUUUCUGACGCUCAGGCACGAAAGCGUGGGGAGCAAACGGG
rnacentral:rRNA from 1 species